UACAGAGGGUGCGAGCGUUGUCCGGAAUCACUGGGCGUAAAGGGCGCGUAGGCGGCCUGGUUAGUAGGGGGUGAAAUCUUGCGGCUCAACUGCAAGGCUGCCUCCUAAACUGCUAGGCUGGAGCACGGUAGAGGCAGAUGGAAUUCCCGGUGUAGCGGUGGAAUGCGUAGAGAUCGGGAAGAACAUCGGUGGCGAAGGCGGUCUGCUGGGCCGUUGCUGACGCUGAGGCGCGACAGCGUGGGGAGCAAACAGG
rnacentral:rRNA from 1 species